rnacentral:rRNA from 1 species
UACGUAGGUGGCAAGCGUUAUCCGGAUUUAUUGGGUUUAAAGGGUGCGUAGGCGGGCUUUUAAGUCAGCGGUAAAAAUUCGGGGCUCAACCCCGUCCGGCCGUUGAAACUGGGGGUCUUGAGUGGGCGAGAAGAAGGCGGAAUGCGUGGUGUAGCGGUGAAAUGCAUAGAUAUCACGCAGAACCCCGAUUGGGAAGGCAGCCUUCCGGCGCCCUACUGACGCUGAGGCACGAAAGUGCGGGGAUCGAACAGG